GAGGGGGGUCCCACGAUACUAAAAAACCAUACCAAACCCACCGCAAUUGUUUAUAACAAAUAAUAGCUAAUAACAAAUUUUAUACAAUGUUCCGUUACAAAAAUUAAGGUGGCGCUGUGUGUAAAUAAAUCAAUAAUCUGAUUAUUCGUGUGCGCAGGUGCAAUUCCUACCCAGCGGCCACCGCGUUACAGACGCCAUUUCUGUUUGCACCUGCUGAAGAAAACAGGCGCUUUACUUUCGCUUCGUUUAUCAUUUAUGUCACCUCGAACGGGACCUUAUUUCUUUUUUGCAGGAUCAUCUGGUGCUUCCCGGACCCGUCGCCUGCCCCAGGUGUAAGAAGGAUUGCUACCUUGCACUAGAAGACACCCGACUUCGUUUUAGAUGCGAGCGUCAGGUGAAAGUAUCGAAAACUAGGAAGACUAAAAAGUGCUCGUUCUCUGUUACAGCCGAGGGAUCCCAUCUGGAUGUCCUGACCGGGUGUUGAUUCGUUGCGUGCUGGCUCAUGGUUCACCAUCCGAAGAAGAGGUUUUAUCAUGGAAGAGCUGCACGUUUCGUCCAGGACAUUCAUCGACUGGAGCAGUUUCUGUCGAGAGGUAUGUAUGCAUUAUUUAACACGUCGUUCUGUUCUUUUAGGUGGAGAAGGAGUCACCGCUAACAUCGGCAAGAGGAAGUACAACCGUAGGAGAAGAAUCGAAGGCCAGUGGACCUUCGGAGGGUAUGACCGAGGCUCGGGAAGGUUUUUAUCAUUCCAGUUCCGGAUCGAACGAUGGAUACCUUGCUUGACCUUAUACGCGAGCACAUACGAUCUCGUACGUAGCAGACUGCUGCGAUGCUUAUUUUUACCUUUAUCAUGUAUUUUUAUUUAAUAAAAUAAGUGUGGUUA